rnacentral:rRNA from 1 species
CCGCCGGCGACCGGCGCACGGGUGAGUAACACGUAUGCAACCUGGCCGUGACAGAUGGAUAACCGGGAGAAAUCCCGCCUAAUACAACAUAAUGCCGGGAGGGGACAUCCCCUGCCGGUCCAAAGGGGGCGACCCCGGUCACGGAUGGGCAUGCGGCGCAUUAGGUAGUUGGUGGGGCAACGGCCCACCAAGCCGACGAUGCGUAGGGGUUCUGAGAGGAAGGUCCCCCACAUUGGAACUGAGACACGGUCCAAACUCCUACGGAAGGCAGCAG